AGAGUUUGAUCCUGGCUCAGAUUGAACGCUGGCGGAACGCUUUACACAUGCAAGUCGAACGGUAACGCGGAGAGAAGCUUGCUUCUCUCCGGCGACGAGUGGCGAACGGGUGAGUAAUACAUCGGAACGUGUCCGCUCGUGGGGGACAACCAGCCGAAAGGUUGGCUAAUACCGCAUGAGUUCUACGGAAGAAAGAGGGGGACCCGCAAGGGCCUCUCGCGAGCGGAGCGGCCGAUGACUGAUUAGCCGGUUGGUGAGGUAACGGCUCACCAAAGCAACGAUCAGUAGCUGGUCUGAGAGGACGACCAGCCACACUGGGACUGAGACACGGCCCAGACUCCUACGGGAGGCAGCAGUGGGGAAUUUUGGACAAUGGGCGCAAGCCUGAUCCAGCUAUUCCGCGUGUGGGAUGAAGGCCCUCGGGUUGUAAACCACUUUUGUAGAGAACGAAAAGACACCUUUUAAAAAAGGGUGUUGCUGACGGUACUCUAAGAAUAAGCACCGGCUAACUACGUGCCAGCAGCCGCGGUAAUACGUAGGGUGCGAGCGUUAAUCGGAAUUACUGGGCGUAAAGGGUGCGCAGGCGGUUGAGUAAGACAGAUGUGAAAUCCCCGAGCUUAACUCGGGAAUGGCAUAUGUGACUGCUCGACUAGAGUGUGUCAGAGGGAGGUGGAAUUCCACGUGUAGCAGUGAAAUGCGUAGAUAUGUGGAAGAACACCGAUGGCGAAGGCAGCCUCCUGGGACAUAACUGACGCUCAGGCACGAAAGCGUGGGGAGCAAACAGGAUUAGAUACCCUGGUAGUCCACGCC
rnacentral:rRNA from 1 species